GAGUUCAAACACAUACACAGAGCAACAGUAUGUAACAGUCAUUUUGAAUAUGUCUCAUUCCUUCUUUAAAUAGUCAAACUUUGAAGAGCAUGACAGCCAUUACAUUCCUGACUAAAAAUCUACUCAGCGUCUUUCUCUGACUCUCCAGAAGAGAAGACAAACUGAAACUGAAACCUCAGUUGGAAAAACUGUUGGUUUGCCUCUGCCAAGCCAAAGGCAGCAACCAAUCAGAAUGUUAGCUAGCUCAGCCAACCAGCUGUUGCCAUAGCAACCCUUUCCAGUGAACUCAUCACAAUAUGGAGUCCUUAUUUCACAUUCCCUCAGACCCUCACAGUGAGUUUUGUCAGUGACUUUGUCUCAUGCCCUGAUGAGUGGUGUGCCACCGCAGCCUAAGAUCACUUGUGCCAACCUGAUCCAUUUGAUUCCUUAUCUGCCAGGUCAUGGAAAUGUUUUGGAUACAAUUUUCAUACUGGAACUGCUCCCCCUACCCGAACCUAUGCUCCCGGCAAGCCCUCUUCCACUAGCGGAGCUGAUGCUGGUUCCUCCCAUGCUGAGGCCUCCUCCUCCAUAGCCGAGACCAGCUCCUCCUGCAAGGCCCAUGGCACUGCUGCCGCCACCAUAGCUCAUGCCUCCGGAUGAAUGGACAACAGCUGCAAAGAAAAUGAGCAGGUUGGCGAUGAAGAUAGUCAGAGAUAUGGAACAAGCUCAGCAAACACAUAGGUGGGUGAGGGAGGCAUAAAGAGAUGGGAGAUGUAUCACACCA